rnacentral:lncRNA from 1 species
UGCAUGCCACAACUAGGUGAUGUCAAUAGUUAUCAACUCCUAGAAAUUGAUUUAUCAGUACUUUUAAACGAAACAGAGACUUCCAUUUAAAAUUUUACAAUGUAUUUUCUAAACGAAACAGAGAAUUCCAUUUACAAUUGUUUACGAUGUAUUUUCAAUGUCGAACACAAUACCGAAGCAACUUCAAUGACUGACCAACAGAAACUUCCAUUUCAACUUAGUCGGUGUACAUUAUAAUGUACAGUUUUGAUAGCAAAUGAAUACAAAGGUUUCUCUAUGUGUAUCAUUCACCAGUAAUCACCGCAAGAGCAAGAACCAUCCACAAAAUGGUGAAAUCGGUUUCGAUCCCUCACAAUUAUUUUGCGUCCUGUAAUUUUUGAGAUGAGCUUAGUAACAGUAUGACAAUCUAGACAUACCCUUAGGUUCUUGACAAUCUUAAUAGUAGUUCCCUGACUGGUACUUAUAAGUCCAAAGGCAAUUGCAAGCUUUUCACUAUGAACUUCAAGCGAUCGCUCUUUCUCAGUGUCUCCAAUAUCAUGUAACACUGUGUCUAUCUUAGGUACAUAUCCAUGAGCUUUUAGCCGUCGAUUCAUCUCCUCUAACAUCAUGUAAAUCUCUUUACUAUUCGGGUGUUUCCAGUCACCAGAAAGAAAUUCAUGUACCUUGUUGUCCACCUCAAUUGAACUGCAACCUGGCUCCUUUUGGACCCCACUUUGCUUCAUCAUUGACCUUACUCUUGCAACCCCGUCCCAAUUGCCAGUAGCUGCAUAUAUAUUAGAAAGAAGAACAAAAGUUCCUGAAUUUGCAAUUUUAUGCUCCACAAGAGAUCCCGCAAUAACCUCUGCCAAAUUCAGGUUUCCAUGAAGUCUACAUGCAGCAAGUAGAGUUCCCCAUAAAACAGGAUCCGGGUCAAUCUUCAUGUUCUUAAUGAGCUGAUAUGCAUCUUCCAAGUGCCCAGCACGGCCAAGAAGAUUUACCAUACAUCCAUAAUGCUCAACCUUAGGCUGAAACCCAUAUUCAUCUUUCAUUAAAUUGAAAAAGGCCCAACCUUCAGAGAUCAGUCCAGCAUUAGCACAAGCAUUUAAAAUACCAAGAAAUGUUAUAUCAGUUGGUUCAACACACAUUCGACGCAUCUCAUUAAACAACUCUAAUGCUUCUCGGCUAAGCCCAUGCAUUGCAUAUCCCAGAAUCAUGGAAUUCCAUGCAACAACAUCCUUCAAGAUCAUUCCAUCAAACACUGCCCUAGCAUCCUCCAAACUUCCACAUUUGCUGUACAUAUCAACCAAAGCAGUACCAACAUGGACAUUUAUUUUAAUGCCAUUAUUCUUCAGGUAAGCAUGAACCCACAGGGCUGACUCCAAAGACCCCAAUUGCCCACAUGCAGAAAGAAUUGCAAGCAUAGUCACUUCAUUAGGCUUCACCUUUGCCGAUAACAUCUGCCUAAAAAGUACUAGAGCUUCAUUUGGCCUUCCAUGCUGAGUAUACCCAUCAAUCAUCACAUUCCAGCAGACUACAUCCCUGUCAUCCAUCUCAUUGAACAAAGCUCUCGCCUCAUCAACAUCCCCACUCUUUGCAUACCCAGUAAUCAUUGCCGUCAAUGAAACCAAACUUCUUUCAGGCAUUGUGUCAAACAAUUGACGGGCAGACACCACAUCACCACUUCUUGCAUAAAUAUCCACAAGUGCAGUUCUCACAUAUGUAUCACAGUCAAAUCUGAACUUGAGGGCUUGGCAAUGAAGAGCUCGCCCAAGAUCAAAAGGGCAAGCUUUAAGGAUAGCUGAGAACGUAAAUGCAUUGGGUUCAACGUUUUCCAUGAGCAUUUGAAUGUAGUAAACCAAAGCUUCAUUAUGAAGAUUAUUCAUGGCAUGGCUAUGAAUGAUGGUAGUGUAAAAGAAAACAUUGGGAUUGUGAGAUUUCUUGAAAAGUGUAACUGUCUGUUGAAGAUAGCCAAAAGAAGAGUAAGAGCGCUGGAGCUUGAAAUUCAAGACAGGGUGAUUUUCAAAGCCAUGACGUAUGAGGAAUGCAUGAAUUUGUCGAAUGUGAUUGAUGGUUUUUGAUUUGUCAAUAAAAAAUGCAAGGUUAUCAGGAGAUGGUGGAGAAUAAUUUUUCUUGAUGGUUGUUUUGGUCGGUGUAAGUGUUGGUGGAGCGGUAAAAAGGGAAGUUGAAGACAUGAUUUACUAGCUGUGCCCCCAAAGCUUAGCUUUCACAAGAUUCAAGUUGUCAGAGAAACAAUUAAACCUGAAUGCUGGAGGGUCAUUACUGGUGCAAGCAUCUAAGAUAUCCAUUCUAUGUAAGACUAAGUAAACGCUGGACUAGCUGAGGAGUCAAUUUCUGCAGCAAGCAAUUUCCCUUGUUGAGAUAAAACCCGGAAUUAGUGCCUAACAAAUUAGAACUCAGGAAGAAUCAUGUAAGAUACACUUGAAAUAAAUGGAACAAGUUAAGAAGUGACAAACAAUUAUAGGCACUAGUGCAUGUUGGUGUUUUUAGUUAAUUUCAGAAAUUUUUGUACUAUCGGUUUAUUCAUUGCAAGUAAAGAAGUACGUCAAUCAAUUACAGAAGUUACCUUGAUAUGUCAUGUUUGUCGCAAUGCAUUUCGACUAUACAGCCUAUGAAUACAGAUUUUUUACUGAAAAAAAGCCAGAGGCUUAAAAAAGAGAAACUCAAAGAAUUUUCUGGAAUUUUUUUGUUACUUCUCUACUCUACUAGAGUUGGAUUUCUGACAAAUCUUACUGUAAUUUCCCUCCUUUUAUUUUCUUUUCUUUUCUUGCACCAGCUUGCCUUGUGAAGUCCUAGAAGAGCAAUAUGAAACCAAAGAAAGAAGAACAAUCAAAGCACAUCAACCUACUUCCUCCCGGAAAAGUUCACCUUGUGUAUCAAUUAUCAGCCAAACUUCAGAAGAAUUCCUCCCUCAAACUGUUAUCUUUUGUGCACUUAAAUACAGAAUGAUGCACUCUUCCACUUACUAAUCUUUUGUAAAAGCUCUUGGUUCUACCAUUUCAAUUCCAUGAAGAUAGAGAAUGCAUUAACAAACUUCUAAUUUUCCAUCAAAUAUUGCUGGUAGAAUCUCAUAUUCAUCAUAUUUUACAACCACUGAAUAACAUAAUCUCGAAUUGGCACAGUAAAAAACUACCUCAAAACCCACAAGGGUCACAUCAAAAUCGAAACAUAAUGAGAUAUUUAAGCCAGUAAUUGCUUCAAACAGUGGGCAGGCAUCUUCAACUACCUUUCUUAAUUCACACUAUACAAACGCUAGUUGAUUUCUUUUGUGCAUUCCCAAUGUUCGGGUACGUGGAUUUACAGCUAAAUUUGCAGUUAGAUAUUGUGGUCAAGUACAGAAAGACUAGUAGAGAUAGAGAAGAUGUAUUCACCUGAGGAGCUUGAAAACUGCUGCUUAGGAGUCAGAGAGAAAUGCCGGAGGGAAGAAAGAUGGAGCCAUGCUGAUUAGUCCAUUUCUGUUUUCCUUUCCUUUCAGGAUAGCUUUGCGGAGAUGGAUUUGUUUGCGACGUCGUUUCCUUCCCUAUUUGCUACCAGAGAAUAUUUCCUAGUAGCAUUUAUUUCUCAUUAACAUAUAUUAUUUGAGUAAUUUCACCUUUUCCUUCAAAAAAAAAAAAAAAAGUGAUUUCAUUUUGGUUACUAUUUCCAAAUUGAGACUUUUUAUUCGUCUGAGGUGAAUUUUUCCCAAACCCUUUAACAAGAGCACAUGUUAGCCAAACCGUACUAGUUGUUUUUAUUCUUAAUAUGGAAUUGAGUCCUCAAAUGCUGGAAAAUCAACUCCGUACAAAAAUCAAUCUCCCAAAUCAACUUUUCAAGAUUUCACUCGGCGCAUUAAAAUAUAGUUAAAAAAUGAAUCAAACUAUUUGAUACCCGAAUUGAACUCGACUUGAUAAAAACUCGUUCAAAUUUAAUUCGUUAACUACUCAAGCCAAAUUUGAAUAAUGUUUUAUAUUUGAUAACAUUCAAUUCGAUUAAAAAAAAAAAAAACUCUCUCGAACUUGGUUUGACAAAUAAACAGGUCAAAUUUGAACAAAAUUUUAUAUUCGUUAAAAUAAUCAAACAAGUUUCAACACUAAAAUGUUCGACUUAAUUAAGUUCAUUUACACCCCUACAUUAAAAAAUUCAAAGUUCAAAAAAAAGAAUCCCUAACAAGCAUUACAAAAAACAAAAAGCAAAAAAAAAAAAAGAAAAAGAAAAAAGCCCUCAUAAUUCUUGUUACGUGUCAAUAGAAAUUUGACGUAAUUUAAAACAAUAUGAAAAUAUCACCCGUGAUCUCCCUUAUUUAUCUUGUGGUGCACAUUUGCUUAAAUUUUUACGCCAACUAUUCUUUGUUGCUCCGGAUUAAAAUCCAAAUUUAAGUUGCGUAAAAAACGAAGCAGAAAAGAAAAGAAAGAAAGAAAAUCUUAACCAAGCAACAAGAACUAUAAUAAGAAGCAAAAUUAUCAAGCUUUGGACUUGCUUGAAUCCGAGUUCGGGCCCUACAAAAUAUUGAACCACAAAAUGUAUUCCAUUUUUACACUAACAUAUGCUUUAAACAUUAUUGUCAAAAACUUCCUUUUACAUAAAAUCAAUACUUUAGCAAGUUCAAAUUGCCAAAUUCAUCUUUUCCAAAUCAUAAAAAUGCACCACCCCCUAGUUACAUAUAUUCUUGAACUUGAUCCACCUGAGUCAACCUUAUACAAGCACUCAGCUAGAAAUCAAACAGGGCUCAAGUCAUACAAGUUAAACAAACCAUCCCCAGCCACUCAAAACAAGCCAUUCCAAGCUUCUUCUUUUUUUCCCCCCUUGCUCCUGAAAACAAGUAGCAUUGUUCUUUGAUCUGCUACAGAUUGGAGGAGGGAUUUUAAGAAUAGAAGAAAAAAAAUAAGAAAAUAUGAUGAUCUACAUUCUUUCGGCACAAAACUGAAGCUUAUGAGGACGAAUUUUAAUCCUCAGAGUCUCUGCUUUCAGGAAGUACUAUUCCUUCUGAAUUGAUGAACCUGUUUGUUGCACCAAAAACAUCAGCUAGUCGCAGAACUGUUGUUUGACAUGUAGCAGUCAUUGGUAGGAAUGUAUCUGGAAGGCUAGGGACACAUUCAGGGAGAAACUCUAUCUUUAUGGAUGUUCGAGUAUACAGGCCGAGCACUGCCCGACAAAAUAUGAAUCUGCAAAAGCGCAACAUACUUUCACCUUCAAAACGUAUAUUAUUUUCAAAAAGAGGCUCUUCUAAAGCCAAAGGACAGUCUACUACAAUGAACCCAAAAUUUAAAACCAAAUAAUAAUAAUAAAGGAUCUUAAAGCCCAUAAAGCAAUGUGUCUUUCGGAUGGUCCAACAUUUAGCUGCUUUUACUGUAAGUGGAAGUCAAAACCCUUGAUGUGCUGAACUACUGAUAGCUUGAAAUUCAUGUUCACCAGAGGUCCAUAAGUUCAAGCAACAAAUAAGUUCAAAUCAAAUAGGUACUAGGCAAAGGAUAAUUGAGAAAAGAAUAAGCAGCACUUAAUUACCUCAGGAGGAGUCGUCUUAUGAAUGGAUCAGCCAAAAUUUGAGCCCAAACAGGAUUAAGAUUGUCUGAUACAGCCAGUAAUGAUCCCCACUCAUUUAACGAUGAGGAAAGCAACUUCUCAGCUUUAUUAUACAAAUCCUGACAACACAUACUUCUUCUGAGACCUUGCAGAUCCUUAAAGAAAAUUAAACUAAAAAGUGGAAAAAACUGAAGGGAACACUAUUGACUACUAUCUAACCGUCUCAAUAUCAGAGCUGGUAAAACCAAGCAUAAGAAUAAAAGCCUGCAGAGGAGCUGUCAGGAAAUUGGUGAAUGGACUUCCACCAGGCUGGCGAGAAGAGUCAACAGCUGAUAUAGGCAAUGAGGCAGUGGGUGACAGGAGCAUGGCAACUGGCUCUCCUUUUUCGGCUCCAUCUAUAGCCUAUCCACGGUGCAUGCCACAACUAGGUGAUGUCAGUAGUUAUCAACUCCUAGAAAUUGAUUUAUCAGUACUUUAAGAAAUGUUUCCUUGCAAGAGUUUCAGAAGUUUAAGCGAUUUUCCUACCUCUCAGAACCACAGUUCAGUGUAGCCUAAGUUCAAGUAUGUUCUACAAGGAAUAGUUCUUAUUCUGAUUGGAUUGCUAUAGGGAUGAAAUUAAAUACUCUAAUAAAAAGCUUAGUGCCAUCAAUCAACUGAGGCGGAUAACAGAUCAGAGAAGACAAAAACAGGUAUCACAGGAAGGUACUGUGUGCAGAUGCUCUCCUAAGACAAGAAUACCCCUUCAAAUAUCAAACAACCAUUUCAGUGAAAGCAAUAUCUUCCUACAGCUUUUAAAAUUCCAAAGCAGACACGAAUGGGCACUAGAGCAAUUUUGGUCUACAGGCUAGCUGAAUCUGUCAACAUUCAUAUGACACCGAUGCGAAUGUGACAUUACCCUAGCUAACAGAAAUGUAACCACUCUACAAAAGCUAAUCAUGACAUUCAAUUAGGGUCGCAUACAUAGAGAUAUCUAAGUGUAUAGAACUCCCACCAAUCCUACUGAGUGAAAGUCAAGUUCUGUCCAUGUCUCUAAACACCCGCUUGCUCACUUAGAAAUGAUACAUAAAUAAAAAAAGAUGAUAUGUAGAACCCAGGUUAUUUAGUUUCUCUGUGAAACGACUAAGCCAUUUUACAAGAUACCUCCUCAGAGGCAAAAAGGGUCCUUGAAUUGACAUGUUAUGAACUCUCUCCUGUUACCUUCUAGACUAAAAUCACCUCUUCUUCACAGACAUGCUUUUACAAGAAAAAAUUUAAUCCUCAAAACAUAUAUAUUUGUUGGGAAACCAAAACUCUCAAGAGUAUGCUAACAUGCUAGCUUUCUCAUGCACAGAGACGUGUCAGCCCAAGGUCAAAUAAAAGAUUUUCUACAGAACAAAAUCUAGAAUUGAUGAAAAUCACAAGGCUUUGUGCUAUGGAAGAAAUUAGUGCAAAUGCACAUGACUGAAAGACUUCUUUUAAUUGGACCCCUCAUAAUUCCUUCUUUUAGUAUAACAUGAGACAUACAUAUGUAGCCAAAAAUGAUACUGAAAAAGUGAGAAAACAAAAAACUGAGAACCUAUGUCAUUAUGAAUAUCUGGAGAAUGUGUUUUCGCAUUUGAAGAUUUCAUUGUUAAGAUGAAAUAGAGGUUUGCUGGAUCUCAGUGUUUCACACAAAAGUUUGAUCCUACAUGGAAGCUAAGCUGAUGAUGGGAAGUUAAGAUGAUGGUGAUCUCAUUAAGAUAGCAUAACAAAAUGCCUUUUGCCAGUCAAGUGUUUACAGAUGACUUUAUGGUCUGUUUGAC